rnacentral:lncRNA from 1 species
CAGGCCUUCACUGUGGAAUGUGACCAAAUGGGCUUGGCCGGUCCAGAAGGAGGGUGGGGCGAUGAGAACCCCUGGAGGGUUCCAGAACAGAGACUGAGAGUAUUCACAGGUCAACCUAGCCUGAACAUUGGCUAGGAAAGGAUUGGGAGAAAGAGAAACAGGGGCCUGGGGAGAUGUCAGGGCGUAGGGGACAACACCACAGGGAGUCAGUCAAGAGUGGCCAGCUGGGUUGUGCCAUGCAGAGGACCCCAGAAACUGAGAGGGGACGGGCAGUGGCCUGGCUGGACACCUGGAACUCAGCACCCAAUGGGACAGCACACGGCCCAACCCAGCCAGUAAAGACCCUGCACCCCUUGGCCACUCUGAUUGGAUCAGGCAGGGCCACUGCGAAGAGUGCGACUCAGAGACAGACAGAACAAUGGCAGGAGAAGGACAAGGACAGGUGACCAGAGAGUAGUCUUUAUUAUGUCUCCUAGCUCUCCAAGCAGGGCCUGUGGAUGGAGCUCUGGCGGGGACUCUGGAGGGAUUUUGAUGACUAUCUGCCCCAGGAUGCUCAGGAUGGGGCAGGGUCCUCCUGGCACCAGAAACCCAGGAAAGGGCUGUUCCUGGCUGUUCCAAAACCAGGAAAGACUUCACUCACUCAUGCCGUGCCGCCAGCCACGGCCACCCCUCCUGACACAUCACAGCCCAGAGCCGCGGGCUGCUGGGUCAUGGAAUGGCCAGCGCUGAGGCCUUAGUUCUGGGGACACCAGCACAGGAGGCAGGGACAGCCAUAUCACUGACCCCCACCUGAUGCCUGGGGCAGGGUGACAGCCACAGGACCUGAGAGAAGCGAGGGAGGGAUCCUACUGCCCCCUUCCAGGGGCAGGCAAGAGGUGGG